rnacentral:lncRNA from 1 species
ACAGCUGGAUUCUGGCCGGAUAAACAGAUUUCAGCCGGAGGUUACCCGGCAACUGUAACGACCACCCCAGGCCCACCACCGCCAUCGGAACAUCAGGUUUACAUGAUCUCAGCACCAGGACCGGCUCCAGCCACAGUCUACCACGCAGCUCCAGCACCUGCAGCGGCAGCGUCACAAAUGGUUCGACCGGUGACCGGACAAGCCGGCCAAGGCUACUACGCCAACGUACAGAGAAUGCCACCCGAAGUCUACCGGGAGCAACCGGUUUACAACAUGGUGGCGCAACCUCCGCCGACACAACACCCGCCGAUAUCAGCGGUCUCGCAGCAAGUGGUGAGGCCACCAAGCGGAGGAGGGGUGACAGAUAUGGCAU